UGGGGAAUAUUGCACAAUGGGCGCAAGCCUGAUGCAGCCAUGCCGCGUGUGUGAAGAAGGCCUUCGGGUUGUAAAGCACUUUCAGCGAGGAGGAAGGUGGUGAACUUAAUACGUUCAUCAAUUGACGUUACUCGCAGAAGAAGCACCGGCUAACUCCGUGCCAGCAGCCGCGGUAAUACGGAGGGUGCAAGCGUUAAUCGGAAUUACUGGGCGUAAAGCGCACGCAGGCGGUUUGUUAAGUCAGAUGUGAAAUCCCCGGGCUCAACCUGGGAACUGCAUUUGAAACUGGCAAGCUAGAGUCUCGUAGAGGGGGGUAGAAUUCCAGGUGUAGCGGUGAAAUGCGUAGAGAUCUGGAGGAAUACCGGUGGCGAAGGCGGCCCCCCUGGACGAAGACUGACGCUCAGGUGCGAAAGCGUGGGGCAGCAAACAGGAUUAGAUACCCUGGUAGUCCAGCGCUGUAAACGAUGUCGAUUUGGAGGUUGUGCCCUUGAGGCGUGGCUUCCGGAGCUAACGCGUUAAAUCGACCGCCUGGGGAGUACGGUCGCAAGGUUAAAACUC
rnacentral:rRNA from 1 species